AGAACGUCUCCUUCCUCUCUCUAAAUCGAAGUUCUUCUGAACCCUGACCCUAGUCAGCGUCUCGGCACCACGACGGCGACGGCGACGGCGACGGCGACGGGGACUAUCUCCAAGUUUCUCUCCUCCUCGUGCAGGUUCUGCUUGCGUUCUUAAUAUGACGAUCAGAAGAAUGAGGUGCCAACAUCUGAAUUAAGUGGUGUUACUCUUAAUGAGGUUGAGUCAGAGCUAACCUGCCAUUGUGGUGUUCAAUCACCAAUUCCUUUUAUGGAGGUGUUCUCCUAUUGGAGUCAUGGUGUGCUUAGUGUUGUUCCCUAUGGGCACUCCGUGUGCAAGAGGAAAGAGUGCGCUCUCCCUGAGGAGUUAGGAGGAGGAGGCAAAGUUUGGGAGCGGAACGGCAACAAUGAUGAUAAGGACUAUGAGGAGUAGGUGGAGAAGGAGGAGGAACAUGAAGGCUGGGGAAGCGGUCAAAAAAAAGUAAUAGAAAACAUUCAAGUUAGGAUUUUAGAACUCAACACCUUAACCCUUCCUCCCCAUCUCCUCUGGUUGGGAUCUUGGAACUCAACAUCCUGAAGUAACUUAAGUUCAUAAUCCUUUACUACAGUUGCAUGGAAUGUACUUCAACGAGACAGGUGAAUACAAUGAUCUUCUUGAAGUACGUUCCUGCACUGUUGUCAAGGAUUACGAACUCAAGUUACUUUAGGACGUAGAGUUCCAAGAUCCCAAUAGAGGACAUGGAGAGAAAGAGUUAAGGUGUUGAGAUUCCCAUAUCCUAGCCUGAAUGAUUUCCAUUACCUUCUUUUUUUGACCGAUUCCCCCAGCCUUGUUCUCCUCCUCCUAAAGUUUAAUCUAAGCAAGCUUAGAGAAUCUUAGUGAAUGCAGCGUCACUUCGAACAAACACUGUACUCUUGGAAACCAUGCGCUUAAACACAUUUUCAUGGACAAGUAUUUAGUAGAAUAUUGAUGACAAGAAAGGUUUCUUCCAAGACAGAUUGCAAGGCAAGUCUACUUUGGAAAGUCUCAGAGUACCCUGUCAUUUUGUUUGAUCAUGACAUUAGAUCAGGAACAUUACAAUAGAACAAAAUAAUUGAAACAUGACAUUAACCAAAAAAUUAAUUCGGUUUUUAACUUGAUCUGCGAACAUAGUUACGAAGGAGAAAAAGCAGAGCAGAGAGAGGUCUGAACCAGGGAAGCUAAAAUAUAGGAAGGAGGGCUCCCGGUUUCACUCCAGACACCGUCGUCUCUGUCCUGUUUCGGGAGUGGUCAUUCUUUGUUGUUGUUGGCAAGUCUCUGUAUCUCUCAUCCUUUAACGGUGAGGUAAGAGCGAUUUGAGGGUUUUCUUAAUUCUGGUUCUGGGACUUGUUCCGGUGGCGGUUCUGGUUUCUCCUGUGAUUUGGGCUCGUUGGUUGUGGUGAGUUUGUCUUGACCAAUGCGCUAAUCCCUACGCCGGCUCCAACGUUUUGUACACAGGAUGAUCUGAUCCUUGGUCCAUUGUAGAACAGAACGAUGCCAAAAUUAAGGAACAAUCAAACUGUAAGAUCGACAGCUCGGCACUGCACGGUACACUGCACGGUAAAGAAGUUUACAGCGAACCAAAUGUUGAAGAAGUUUCUGUGCUUCUGUUAACGGUAUGAAGAUUGAGAUUCUGGACGGGAGAAGCUUCGGAGAAGUGCAAUGUGAACUUCGCUAGUGAAUUCGCUCAAUAUUGUUCACAGCUGCAAGUUUUGCAUCUGCACAGAGUUGCGCUUCUUUGACGGCUUGGGAGCUGAGAUGGUUAUGGUCGUAGCUUGGAGACGUACAAGAACAUAGCCAUGAAGAUUGCCAACGGGUGCUAAGGAAGGGUUGCUUGAUGACACCGCGUACCUGAACGAUCUUGAUCAUGCCAGUAUGGCAGCACAAGCCUGAUGGAGAUCGAUUGCUCUUAAGUAUCUUCAAGGAGAUGAAGGCGAGCGCGAGAGAGGAAGUGCGUACAAGUUCUUGAUCGUCUCUCUCCGCGGGAGAAAAGGUAGAAAGCUGGAUGAGGCCGGGAAGUUGUUUGGGGAGAUGAUGAAAUCCGAGUACGUCCUGGAUAGAAUCUAUCUGGGUUACUUACGUUAAAGUAACAAGUUGUUAGAUGUAGGUGUUGAGCUGUAAAUAGAUAUUAUAUUGCUGUAAAUACAUAGGAUUUUUAGGAAGUUUUUAUUUUGAUUUGAUUCUGAUCAAAUCCCACACAUCAUGAGAUUAUA